rnacentral:rRNA from 1 species
GACGGGGGAUGCAAGUGUUAUCCGGAAUAAUUGGGCGUAAAGCGUCUGUAGGUGGUUUACCAAGUCUGUUGUUAAAAACCAGGGCUUAACCCUGAUCCGGCAACAGAAACUAGUAGGCUUGAGUACGGUAGGGGCAGAGGGAAUUCUCGGUGUAGUGGUGAAAUACGUAGAUAUCGAGAAGAACACCAACAGCGAAAGCACUCUGCUGGGCCGAAACUGACAUUGAGAGACGAAAGCUAGGGGAGCGAAAGGG